CAACUGGGAUUAGAUACCCCACUAUGCCCCGCCGUAAACUUAGAUAUUCCAGUACAACAAAUAUCCGCCAGGGGACUACGAGCGCCAGCUUAAAACCCAAAGGACUUGGCGGUGCUUCAGACCCCCCUAGAGGAGCCUGUUCUAGAACCGAUAACCCCCGUUCAACCUCACUACUCCUUGCUUUUCCCGCCUAUAUACCACCGUCGCCAGCUUACCCUGUGAAGGUACUACAGUAAGCAGAAUGAGUAAUACUCAAAACGUCAGGUCGAGGUGUAGCGUACGAAGUAGGAAGAAAUGGGCUACAUUAUCU
rnacentral:rRNA from 1 species